rnacentral:rRNA from 1 species
AGUGAACGCUGGCGGUAGGCCUAACACAUGCAAGUCGAACGGCAGCACAGUAAGAGCUUGCUCUUGCGGGUGGCGAGUGGCGGACGGGUGAGGAAUACAUCGGAAUCUACCUUUUCGUGGGGGAUAACGUAGGGAAACUUACGCUAAUACCGCAUACGACCUACGGGUGAAAGCAGGGGAUCUUCGGACCUUGCGCGAUUGAAUGAGCCGAUGUCGGAUUAGCUAGUUGGCGGGGUAAAGGCCCACCAAGGCGACGAUCCGUAGCUGGUCUGAGAGGAUGAUCAGCCACACUGGAACUGAGACACGGUCCAGACUCCUACGGGAGGCAGCAGUGGGGAAUAUUGGACAAUGGGCGCAAGCCUGAUCCAGCCAUACCGCGUGGGUGAAGAAGGCCUUCGGGUUGUAAAGCCCUUUUGUUGGGAAAGAAAAGCAGCAGGUUAAUACCCCGCUGUUCUGACGGUACCCAAAGAAUAAGCACCGGCUAACUUCGUG